ensembl:lncRNA
CGGGACUUCCGUUCAGAUUGUUGCUCUUCUGUCCUGCUACUCCGUCGGUCGCGGGCGGACGGACCUGGUUGUUGGACUGUGGCUGGUGUCCAGGGGGCUCCUCAGGCCCGCGGAAACGGGAAUGGCAGAUGAGACCACCAAAUGUGGACCCCACCAUCCCUGCCUCUGUUCUGGGCCCUGCCUCAGUGGAAACCAGCAGAUGAUGAGGGCAGGUGCCCCCAGGCUCACUUGCAGUGCCGCCUGUGCCCCUGAGAUCUGGGCUGCAGACCUCUCAGCCCCAGGGCUCCUGCCUUGCAGUGAUGGUCUUGCCGGGAGCAAGCCCAAGGAGGCCGAGGAGGCCGCCUGCCUGCAGACUGUCGUCCGACCAGGAGCAGCACGCUGCGGCUCACACCUGCUCUCAGGUGGCCUCUGCACCCGUUCUCAGGUCAAGAAUCUGGAGCAUUCGGAAGGGAGUUGCCCCCGGGACAUUCCAGUUGCCCCCAGCAGAGUGAGCCUGUCCAGGAAUCCUCCCCCAGCACUGCCAGCAGACCCUCUGUGGGGCCUUUGGCCAGAGAGGGUCAGUUCGCAGCUCCCAUGCAGUUAGGGCCUAACAAGUUCCGACUCUUUGCCACCCCAUGUCCAUGGAAUUUUUCAGGCAGAAUACUAGAGUGGGUUGCCAUUUCCUCCUCCAGGGGAUCUUCCUAACCCAGGGAUUGAAACAGUGCCUCCUGCAUUGGCAGGCAGUUUCUUUACCACUGAGCCACCUGGGGAGCCCCAUAUCAUGUCCCAUAGCUAUGUCUUUCUUUUAAAGGUUCUGUUUAAAAGAACCCCUCUGUCCUGUUUCAGAGGGACCAGCAUGUGCAAAGGCUUGGAGGAGGGUAUGCAGGACACCUGAAGUCCUUUACCACAAAGUCCCAAGGGGGAAGGAUUCAUGUUAGGCCUUUAUCCUGGGGGGGAUGGGGGUGGGGCAGGGGUUGGGGAGACAUGAUUGGACGAGUGACUAGAUCUGACAAGACUCCAUUUUGGGACUUCCCCAGUGGUCCAGUGGUUAACCGCCCGCCUUCUAUUGUAGGGGAUGCAAGUUUGAUCCCUGGAUGGGAAAAUACGAUCCCUCAUGCUGAGAUGCAAAUAAGCCUGAGUGCCACAACUGCUGAGCCCACAUGCUCUGGAGCCCGCAAGCCACAGGGAAGAUCCCGUGUGCCUCAAAUAAGACCUGACACUGCCAAAUAAAUACAUUUUUAAAAAAGAGCAUCCAUUUGACAUCCACAUGGAGAAGGGAGAGGGACUGGGUGAAGGUCAGGGGAAUGGGCCCUCUUGAGCCUCUACAUGUGACACAUUCCUGCCAGGCCCUUCAGUUCAGCUGCCCGUUCCUGGUCAGCAGAAUCAUGCUCCCCACCGAAGAUGUCCACAGACUGCUAACCUGCCUGAGGGCUACCAUGAGGCCUGGAGUGGAGGUGGGUUGCCAUCUGUACCAGUGGGGUCAGGCUCACAGUCCAGGACCGCCAUGCGGACCCUGAAAGCUGGAGAGCCCACCCCAGUGACACAUCUUCAAAGACACCUGGUUGUAGUAGGUAGAAGCCACGUGCCCGGGGACGUGGCGGGGAGCCUCCCGGUUCAGCCCCAGCCUCCAUCAACACCAAAGGCAACUGAAGUGGGGGUACACGUAGAGCCCCUCACCAGUGCAGAGUAACCCCAGAGAAGCUACAUGACACAUCCACCAGCACCUUGACAGUGCUGAGGCCAAUGGUAAAAGGUCAAAAAGUGGGCAGUGCCCCAAUUCCUGAUAAUCUCACCCCUUUUCCCAAAUAGUUGGAAAAACCCUUCCACUCGUUAAGUCUAUGAAGUUGCCCAGCCCAUAAAAACUAAUCACCCCAUGUUUUGGGGCCUCUCGCUUUCUGAGAUGGCCCACACUGUGGAGUGUGUUUCUCCCAUGGUUGUUCUGGCCUUUUGAGGCUGACUGAAUUCUAUCUAUGGAAUGUGUUUCUAAAUAAAUCUACUUCUUACCUAUCAUUUU